rnacentral:rRNA from 1 species
AUUGAACGCUGGCGGCAGGCCUAACACAUGCAAGUCGAGCGGAUGAAGGGAGCUUGCUCCUGGAUUCAGCGGCGGACGGGUGAGUAAUGCCUAGGAAUCUGCCUGGUAGUGGGGGAUAACGUCCGGAAACGGGCGCUAAUACCGCAUACGUCCUGAGGGAGAAAGUGGGGGAUCUUCGGACCUCACGCUAUCAGAUGAGCCUAGGUCGGAUUAGCUAGUUGGUGGGGUAAAGGCCUACCAAGGCGACGAUCCGUAACUGGUCUGAGAGGAUGAUCAGUCACACUGGAACUGAGACACGGUCCAGGCUCCUACGGGAGGCAGCAGCGGGGAAUAUUGGACAAUGGGCGAAAGCCUGAUCCAGCCAUGCCGCGUGUGUGAAGAAGGUCUUCGGAUUGUAAAGCACUUUAAGUUGGGAGGAAGGGCAGUAAGUUAAUACCUUGCUGUUUUGACGUUACCAACAGAAUAAGCACCGGCUAACUUCGUG